CCUACGGGAGGCAGCAGUGGGGAAUAUUGCACAAUGGGCGAAACCCUGAUGCAGCGACGCCGCGUGAGCGAAGAAGUAUUUCGGUAUGUAAAGCUCUUUCAGUAGGGAAGAAAAUGACGGUACCUGACUCAGAAGCUCCGUCUAAAUACGAGCCAGCAGCCGCGGUAACACGCAUGGAGCAAGCGUUAUCCGGAUUUACCGGGUGUUAAGGGAGUGUAUGCGGUAAGGCAAGUCUGAUGUGAAAGGCCAGGGCUCAACCCUGGGACUGCAUUGGAAACUGUUUAACUGGAGUGUCGGAGAGGUAAGUGGAAUGCCUAGUGUAGCGGUGAAAUGCGUAGAUAUUAGGAGGAACACCAGUGGCGAAGGCGGCUUGCUGGCCGAUGACUGACGCUGAGGCUCGAAAGCGUGGGGAGCAAACAGGAUUAGAUACCCCAGUAGUC
rnacentral:rRNA from 1 species